rnacentral:rRNA from 1 species
AACGUAGGAGACAAACGUUGUCCGGAUUUAUUGGGCGUAAAGAGCUCGUAGGCGGUUUGUCGCGUCGGACGUGAAAUCCCUCGGCUUAACCGGGGAACUGCGUCCGAUACUGGUUGGCUUGAGUUUGGGAGAGGGAUGCGGAAUUCCAGGUGUAGCGGUGAAAUGCGUAGAUAUCUGGAGGAACACCGGUGGCGAAGGCGGCAUCCUGGACCAAUUCUGACACUGAGGAGCGAAAGCCAGGGGAGCAAACGGG